rnacentral:misc_RNA from 1 species
AACUCUCAACCCCCUUAUUUUGUAAUGAAAUAAGCGUGGGAUUGGUUUAUGGUUGUUGAAGGCUUCACGGCCUUCUCAGCUGAAAUAUACGAGCUACCUAUUUUAUAAUAGACGGUUUGACUCGGCGUAAUAACUAUUUCGCUGAGGACGUCCUUUUAUAAUAGUAAAUGGUGCUUCUAAUUCAACAUCAAUUUAAGA